UAGACAUAUGUGGACCCUUUCCUUUAGUUUUGUUUUGUAUAUAUAUAUAUAUAAAACAAAACUAAAGGAAAGGGUCCACAUA